GUCUAUGGCCAUGCCACCCUGAUCGUGCCUGAUCUCUUCUGAUCUCGGAAGCUAAGCAGGGUCGGGCCUGGUUAGUACUUGGGUGGGAGACAAAAGUAAGAACAGAAAGGAGAGGAUA
rnacentral:rRNA from 1 species